rnacentral:lncRNA from 1 species
UUGACCACUGAGGUCAAGUCUGUUGAGAUGCAUCACGAGUCUCUUCUUGAGGCACUUCCUGGUGACAAUGUUGGAUUCAAUGUUAAGAAUGUUGCUGUGAAGGAUCUCAAGAGAGGAUACGUUGCCUCAAACUCCAAGGAUGACCCAGCUAAGGGUGCUGCUAACUUCACCUCCCAGGUCAUCAUCAUGAACCACCCUGGUCAGAUCGGAAACGGUUAUGCCCCAGUUCUCGAUUGCCACACAUCUCACAUUGCAGUCAAGUUCUCUGAGAUCUUGACCAAGAUUGACAGGCGUUCUGGUAAGGAGAUCGAGAAGGAGCCCAAGUUUUUGAAGAAUGGUGACGCUGGUAUGGUUAAGAUGACUCCAACCAAGCCCAUGGUUGUUGAGACUUUCUCCGAGUACCCACCAUUGGGACGUUUCGCUGUUAGGGACAUGAGGCAGACCGUUGCUGUUGGUGUUAUCAAGAGCGUGGACAAGAAGGAC